rnacentral:rRNA from 1 species
AGACCGAUAGCGAACAAGUAGAGUGAUCGAAAGAUGAAAAGCACUUUGAAAAGAGGGUUAAACAGCACGUGAAAUUGUUGAAAGGGAAGCGUUUGCGACCAGACCUCUCCCUGGCGGAUCAUCCGGCGUUCUCGCCGGUGCACUCCGCCAGGCUGAGGCCAGCAUCGGUUUCGGCGGGGGGACAAAAGCGGGGGGAACGUAGCUCCCUCGGGAGUGUUAUAGCCCUCCGCAUAAUACCCUCGCGGGGACCGAGGACCGCGCUUCGGCAAGGAUGCUGGCGUAAUGGUCGUCAACGACCCGUCUUGAAACACGGACCAAG